rnacentral:lncRNA from 1 species
GAGAGAUUUCAUCUACGGGAAAAAGACCCUCUGAAAAGAAGUGUGAAAUCAUCAAAAGAGCCAUUGGAGGGGACACCAGAGAGUCGUGUGGCUGAGGUUUCACAUGAUCCCGCCAUGCUUCCAGUCCAGAGGAGAAAGCUAGACCCACUCCUCAAAAAGUAUAGGCAUCAUAAGAAGGCCACAAGGACAAAAAGAAGGAGGAAGGAGAAAAUGGAGGCCCAGUGCUCCCCUGUUCCUCCAACACCUUCAACACCACCACAAAGUGAAGAAGAUGAGGCUGUAGACAAAAAGCCAACUCUACUCAGUGCCCAGGAAGAUACUCCUGACCUUCUCCAUGAGGACAGAUUACAGUAUCUGCAGGAAGAGGGUUCCGGUGUGAUGCAUCAGGAAUGUCAGAUCCAGUCCUGUGAGCUCUCGGUGGCUCAGAAGCCCAGGCCCUCUUCUCCUGCAGUGACAUCCUUGGCAUCACCACCACUCUGCUUUGGCAGUUUCCUAAGCUGUGUCUGCCAGACCUUCUCAAGGUCUAGGAAGCAGAAGCCUCCCAGAAGAAAGGGUAACAACCAGGCUGAGGCAGGAGGUGAUGCUGAGGUCCUGAGACCUGGCCCGGCAAAACCAGAGUUGAGCCUCAGCAAAACGUGUAGCCACUUGAAAUCGAUAGAGCUUUCCUUUGUGUUUAGUUUUAUAGUUCUCUCUGUAUGUCAUUGUUCCUCUUAGUUGAGUUUUUGCCUGUCAAAGAGAUAGAGAGCUGCUUUUAUGCUGAGAUCCUCAAGCCAAAACCCACAGUAAACGCAAAGUAAAACUUU